AAAGCAUGAAAUUUCUGUCUUAUUUUAUUUUUAUAAAUCAUAUGUAUCACGAAGUUAGAAUUUUUUUUUUGGAGGCCUGAAUUAAAUUAUAUGUUUUUACAAUAAUAAAAAUACAAUUCACUAUUUUAAUAACUUAUAUCUUUAUAAUUUUUAAAGGAUUAAAUUAAAUUUUUAUUAUUUUUAAGAGGGCCAAAAUAUAAUUUUACUAUUACCAACGCCGAGCCCCUCACUGAUAUGGAUGAAAAUGUAGAGAAAUGUUGAAUUGUGAUUGGAGGACUGAAG
rnacentral:lncRNA from 1 species